CCUACGGGUGGCAGCAGUGAGGAAUAUUGGUCAAUGGACGAGAGUCUGAACCAGCCAAGUAGCGUGAAGGAUGACUGCCCUAUGGGUUGUAAACUUCUUUUAUAUGGGAAUAAAAUGUUCCACGUGUGGGAUUUUGUAUGUACCAUAUGAAUAAGGAUCGGCUAACUCCGUGCCAGCAGCCGCGGUAAUACGGAGGAUCCGAGCGUUAUCCGGAUUUAUUGGGUUUAAAGGGAGCGUAGGUGGAUUGUUAAGUCAGUUGUGAAAGUUUGCGGCUCAACCGUAAAAUUGCAGUUGAAACUGGCAGUCUUGAGUACAGUAGAGGUGGGCGGAAUUCGUGGUGUAGCGGUGAAAUGCUUAGAUAUCACGAAGAACUCCGAUUGCGAAGGCAGUUCACUGGACUGCAACUGACACUGAGGCUCGAAAGUGUGGAUAUCAAACAGGAUUAGAUACCCGAGUAGUC
rnacentral:rRNA from 1 species